rnacentral:rRNA from 1 species
CCUACGGGUGGCAGCAGUCGAGAAUCAUUCACAAUGGGGGAAACCCUGAUGGUGCGACGCCGCGUGGGGGAAUGAAGGUCUUCGGAUUGUAAACCCCUGUCAUGUGGGAGCAAAUUAAAAAGAUAGUACCACAAGAGGAAGAGACGGCUAACUCUGUGCCAGCAGCCGCGGGAAUACAGAGGUCUCAAGCGUUGUUCGGAAUCACUGGGCGUAAAGCGUGCGUAGGCUGUUUCGUAAGUCGUGUGUGAAAGGCGCGGGCUCAACCCGCGGACGGCACAUGAUACUGCGAGACUAGAGUAAUGGAGGGGGAACCGGAAGUCUCGGUGUAGCAGUGAAAUGCGUAGAUAUCGAGAGGAACACUCGUGGCGAAGGCGGGUUCCUGGACAUUAACUGACGCUGAGGCACGAAGGCCAGGGGAGCGAAAGGGAUUAGAUACCCCUGUAGUC